rnacentral:sRNA from 1 species
UUUGCCUCCCAGAAAGAGAUUUCCCACAGUCCUAACGACUUGUCACCUUUCAGGAUGAGACUGCAACACAGAUAAUGGUGGGUGUGACUGCACCAGGACUAAGUUUAGCUGUGGAAAUCCUGGCCUCUCUAUUGAAAUUUUGAUUUCCCUUCAGGACCAGAGAUAGACUUGAGUGCUUACUGGUUCUCUUUGUCUUUCUUCCCAACGUGGUCACAGUGAAUAAACCUCUGUUUUAUUUUUUUGCUUUCCACUUUUAAUCAGACAGUAGUCUGUUGUUCUGCAACCCCAGGCACAGAGUAUGCUGGCUGCCUCUGUAUCCUCUUCUCUAUUUGCCUAGGAAAGAAUUUUAGUGAUGGUGUCUGUCUCACCAUUCUGUUUGAUAGCUCUGGUCAAGGCCACUGUGACCUCCAUGGUUUUGAACCCCACAGACCAUUCUCAGCUUUUCCCUUAUCUCACCCUACAGGUUAAACAAUAGAAGAUGUAACCUCUGACCCUAUCUCAGUCCUGGAGGCCAGAAGCCUGAGGUCAUAGCUCUGGCACAGCCAUGCUCCCAAGGGUCACGGGAUAACUGUUCGUUCUCUCUUCCAGCUCCCAGUGGCAACCUUUAGUGUUCCUGACUUGGAGGCUCUAAUCUCUGCCUUUGUCUUGGGGUUUCUGACCUUUGGACACCACAUUUCUAUAUUCUUCUGAUGAAUGACCCCUGUUCUGUGCUGAGAAUGAUCUGUGACUGCUGUCCUUUUGGUUUCGAAUGGACGGGGGCCAGCAUACCGCAGGACAAGGUGUCUGGGGGAACAUUUGAAAUAAAUUUCCUAUAGUCUGAGACAAGAACAACCAACUGCACGCAGGGCAAACCAACAAGAUCCUUGAUCCCAGAAUCCAUUCUGAAAAAGCACAAAAGGAAUACGACAACUGCCAAUAUAAUUUAUACUACAUUUGUAUAUUAUAUUAUAUUUAUAAUUUAUAUUACAACCCAAGUGGACACAUCCUGAUAAUUGUAUAUACUCACCAAACCACAAUAACAACAAAGAAUAUUUGCAUUCUCUGAAAAAUUCCUAUGUCCCUUGGCAGGGUCUCCUUCCCUGACACUGAACCCCAGGACCACUGAUCUUUUUGUGUCUUUAUGUCAGUUUACGUUUGUACAAAUGAUCUCACUGUACAAGAACUCAGUUACAUCUGGGCAAUGAACUCCUACUACGUGAA